AUUCGUAUUUUUUUUUUUUUGUGAUUGAUGGGUGAUACUUGUUUUUGUAUGAUUUAUUUGAUUCAUGAUAAUCAAGUUCUUUUAUGACUAAGGAUCUAGGUUUUUCAUAGAUUUAAAAAAGAUAAAAUGUUUCACUAGUUUCUAGGGUGGUUUUGGAAUUAAAGUUUCGAUUGGUUUUAAUUUCUAAUGGCUUAAUUUGUUUUUACCAAACUCAAAUUAGUGCUAACACCAAUUUGUUUUUACCGAAAAGUGAAAGCUAUAAUUCCAAUUGUUAGUAUUAAUACCAAUUGAGGUAGUGAUGUUGUAAUCUGAACUUCAUUUUUUGUUUUACAGACAAUGUCAUAGUUCCUUUUCAUGGGUUUGGUUUUAGUUUCAGUUUGUGAGUCAAGAUUUGAGUUGCUAUUGUAUUUCUUCACAUAUGGCUGCAAAGUUUGCUAUAUUUUUGGGGUAUUUAUAAGUAGAUUCAACCAUUUUGAUCUGAGAUUUACAUGGUCCAUUUCCAUUUGGAUUUUGUUCUGAUGUAUCUUUCUAGAAUGUUGGACAUCUCUGUUUAUAAGUGUUUUUCAGGUACUGGGAGAAGUAGUCCAAAACAGAAGUAAUAAGAAAAGUAUAUUGAGAAAAAAAGAAGGGAGAAAAACAAAUGUUCUUUGAGAUGCUUACAAAUUAACUGGUUCUUUGAGAUGAAAAAAAGAAGAUAUCUCCCUCUCUCUUUCUUUAUAAGAUUAAUUACAAUACACUCUGUAUUAGUAAUUGAUAAACACUUGUUUUGUUUUUUCAGUUUUGUUAAAAUUUGCAGUGGGUAAUUAGUAGUAUGGCAUGCAACAAUAAGGCAGCGUAUCAAGAAAGAUGUAGAUGAAGUUAGAAUGGAUAAACCCUAUCACUGAAUCUCAAACUCAGCAUGUUUGUAAAAAUGCUUAACAAGUAUUUUGUCCUCUUUGUCUUGACUUUUAGUUUUUUUUUUUAGGUAUGCGGUAUGUUUAGACAUCUUAAAAUCAGUAGCAUUUGUAGGUGGUGUGAUUUAACAAUGUAGACCCUAAUGGUAAGAGGGAGGUGGUUCCCAUGCCGAGGUAUAAGAGCCAACGAAGAGGCACUAUUUCCUCCCCUCUUCUCUAUAUCAUGAUUUAGCCUCCAAAGUAUGAGUUGAUAAUGAUUCUCCCUAAAAGAUGGGAGAUUCCACUGUGGAGGUUACUGAUGAAAACCUGGAAGCCCAUUGACGAUGUCAACGUGAUGUUUAUUUUGUUCAAUUCGAUCUCUCUACUGGCUCUGUGAUUAGGCAUCUAUGUUUUUUGCAAGUUAUAGAAACACAAUAGCAUAAGUGAAUGAUGUGGUUCGCUGCCUGGAUUUUCUUUUUGUCUAGUUCAUUUUAAAAUUGUUCGUUAAUUUUAACUAGGAAAGCUAGAGCAAGCAAUUGAACAUCUUACAGAGGCAAUUAUGUUGAAACCCAAUAUCUUCAAUUAUAUAUGCAACUAGAGGAAGAGCCUCCGUUUACAGCUGAAGAAAUUGAAGAAAUCAUAUAAGAAAAUCUAGUUCUUCAUCUUCACUGGAUGUGCAUAAGACCACAAAACACUUCAAAUUGUUCCAGGUAUUUGGGCUUAAGUCAAAAAGAAGUGCUCUGGUGAUAUUUUUGAAGAAGUUGAAAUCUUUGCUGAGGAGAUUGGUUAAGAAAGCGGAGUCUGGUGAUACUUCUGGUAAUAUUUAGUAUUUCUUUCCCUGUUUUUCAAUGCCUCUGUCAGUUGACACAAACUAGCUUACCCAUCCAUUUAUAAACAUCAACAUAGAUCGAAUAUUGUAUGUCAGCCACAACAUACAUAAGUUUACUUGUGUACAUUUGUUUCAAUUGAAGACUCCUUUCUUUAAUAAUAAUAUUAUCUAGUGAUGAUUCUCAA